UAUUCCGGUUUCGAGUGUACGGUGAUUGC
rnacentral:sRNA from 1 species